UACAUGUGGGGCAAGCGUUGUACGGAAUUACUGGGCAUAAAGGGUGCGUAGGUGGCUUGUUAAGUCAGGGGUGAAAGUUUUCGGCCCAACCGGAAAAUGGCCUUUGAUACUGGCGAGCUCGAGUGCGUGAGGGGUAACCGGAACGAGCAGUGUAGCGGUGAAAUGCGUAGAUAUUGCUCGGAAGGCCAACGGCGAAGGCAGGUUACUGGUGCGCAACUGACACUGAGGCACGAAAGCGUGGGGAGCAAACAGG
rnacentral:rRNA from 1 species